ensembl:lncRNA
CUGGGCAAUGGCACCUGCCCACAUCCUAAAGGUAUGCAAAUGGGGACGACAGGUGCAGAAAUGGGACAUCCUCACUGCUUGCGGGAUGGCAGCUUUGGCAUCUGCAGAUUCCAGGUUCAAAGGAGAAAAAAAUAAUAAGUAAAGUAUUACCUUAGCAGCUGGCAUCUUUGAGCUAUUCUGUGCACUAUCCCCAGCAAGGCAGCGCUGCCCUCCACAGGCUCCUACCGAAAUUUCCAGCUCGGCUGUGGAUGUCUGACAAGCAGGGGGUGAUGCUCUCCCCUUUGACUCUCUUCUGGAGCACUGCUGUCCAGGGCACCACUGAUAGGGAUUAAAAACAAAAAACAGAAACUACCUCCAAACUACUGUUUCUCUUGGCACAUCUCGACCUGCUUGAUGCUGCUCCCCGAAUUAGAAUAGCUGUAGUUGUAAUCCCACUGCCAGCAGCCAUUCCUGUGCUGCGAUCAGCAGCGUCCCAGCUUGCCAUGCCACUAACUGUUUCUAAUAGUAGAAACUUCACUCCCAUCUUAUGUAAGGAGCGGGGCAGAGCAGCUGCGGCUUGUGACGUGCUCAGGCAGAAGCUUCCUGGGGCAGCAUGUGCCCAAGGGCAGAGCUCCAGCCGGAGCAGAAGCAGUGACCUUGAUAUGUGUAAGGGCUCAGCGGCACUGCCAGCCCCACACUGAGAUGCUGUCGGUGUCAUGGGCUGUCAAUAGGUGUCAGUUAUGGGCUCGAUAUCUGCCCAUCUGACACACGUGUUGUCAAACAGGCUGGAUUCUGAGAGGGGGAGAAAAAAGAUCUGCAAGCUUCAGGAAAGACAAACAAAGAUGUUAAUAUACUGCUAUUAAAACAGGCUCCUAAGCACGAGCUCCUCUGCAGGCAGCAUGGAUUUGUAUAACUGUGGAUUAAGGAGUGUUUUUCUUCUCCUUGAUUUACUCCUUAAAUGACUUUUGUCUGACUGCUGCUGUCAAUACAAAAUUGAUGGUGCUGUCAAGCUCUCGAGAUUUCAGAAUAUGUGAAGGCUCAAGUCAAUGAUUUUUCCUAUUUCUCAGUAGUUUUGCAGAGGUAUCUUGCAGCUGCCUCUCUCUCCCUGCACAGUUACUGUAAGCAGUGAAGUGCUCUCCCUCGCUUGAAAGGUUCUUCCACUCAUGGUAGGAGAAGAGCCCAGGCAGUGCAAGCACCUUCACCUUGCUGCUGGGAGAGGGGCAGGUGCUGGAUGAACAACAAGCCUGAGCACUGACUGCAGCAUAGACUGGCUGCAACAUGAGCUGCUGGGCGUUGCAGUGGACUAGCAACAGUGGUCAGCU